rnacentral:rRNA from 1 species
AUUGAACGCUGGCGGCAUGCCUUACACAUGCAAGUCGAACGGCAGCACGGGUGCUUGCACCUGGUGGCGAGUGGCGAACGGGUGAGUAAUACAUCGGAACAUGUCCUGUAGUGGGGGAUAGCCCGGCGAAAGCCGGAUUAAUACCGCAUACGAUCUACGGAUGAAAGCGGGGGACCUUCGGGCCUCGCGCUAUCGGGUUGGCCGAUGGCUGAUUAGCUAGUUGGUGGGGUAAAGGCCUACCAAGGCGACGAUCAGUAGCUGGUCUGAGAGGAUGACCAGCCACACUGGGACUGAGACACGGCCCAGACUCCUACGGGAGGCAGCAGUGGGGAAUUUUGGACAAUGGGCGAAAGCCUGAUCCAGCAAUGCCGCGUGUGUGAAGAAGGCCUUCGGGUUGUAAAGCACUUUUGUCCGGAAAGAAAUCCUUGGCCCUAAUACGGUCGGGGGAUGACGGUACCGGAAGAAUAAGCACCGGCUAACUACGUG